UACGGAGGGGGCUAGCGUUGCUCGGAAUUACUGGGCGUAAAGCGCACGUAGGCGGCUUUCUAAGUCGGGGGUGAAAUCCUGGAGCUCAACUCCAGAACUGCCUUCGAUACUGGAGAGCUCGAGUCCGGGAGAGGUGAGUGGAACUGCGAGUGUAGAGGUGAAAUUCGUAGAUAUUCGCAAGAACACCAGUGGCGAAGGCGGCUCACUGGCCCGGUACUGACGCUGAGGUGCGUAAGCGUGGGGAGCAAACAGG
rnacentral:rRNA from 1 species